AAAUGCGAUAAGUAAUGUGAAUUGCAGAAUUCAGUGAAUCAUCGAAUCUUUGAACGCACCUUGCGCUCCUUGGUAUUCCUUGGAGCAUGCCUGUUUGAGUAUCAUGAAAUCUUCAAAGUAAAUCUUUUGUUAACUCAAUUGGUUUCUACUUUGGUAUUGGAGGUCUUUGCAGCUUCACACCUGCUCCUCUUUGUUCAUUAGCUGGAUCUCAGUGUUAUGCUUGGUUCCACUCGGCGUGAUAAGUUAUCUAUCGCUGAGGACACUGUAAAAGGUGGCCAAGGUAAAUGCAGAUGAACCGCUUCUAAUAGUCCAUUGACUUGGACAAUACUUUUAUGAUCUGAUCUCAAAUCAGGUAGGACUACCCGCUGAACUUAAGU
rnacentral:misc_RNA from 1 species